CACAGGGAAACGAGGAACUCCUGCCGCUGAGGGGCCUGUGUGUUUGGCUGAUGCUCUACCAGUACCCAGAAAGGCACCUGGCAUACUGCGGGUGCCCAACAGCCAUUUCCUGAUUGGAUUGGAAUGUGGACUUUGGGACUUAAUGAACCACACUGGUAGAUGCAAGGAAGACAGUGGUGCUGACAGAGGUGAUUUGAAGUGUUGGGGCCUGGCUCAAGAAGUUUCAGAGGAGAAGAAGCUGCUCUAGGAUAAUGUCUGGACAUCUUAAUGAAACAAUGAAUGGUGAAUGUCUACCAUAGACUCACAUACUCACAACGCUGUCGGUAUCUACAGUUUAUAGAUGAGGAUGCUGGGGCAGAGAGAGACAUUUCUCUGGAAGAACCUGGCAGUCAUUAGAUUGAAAGAUCCAGUUU
rnacentral:lncRNA from 1 species